rnacentral:rRNA from 1 species
GAUGAACGCUGGCGGCGUGCUUAACACAUGCAAGUCGAACGGAAAGGCCCAAGCUUGCUUGGGUACUCGAGUGGCGAACGGGUGAGUAACACGUGGGUGAUCUGCCCUGCACUUCGGGAUAAGCCUGGGAAACUGGGUCUAAUACUGGAUAGGACCACUUCUUGGAUGUUGUGGUGGAAAGUUUUUUCGGUGUGGGAUGAGCUCGCGGCCUAUCAGCUUGUUGGUGGGGUAAUGGCCUACCAAGGCGUCGACGGGUAGCCGGCCUGAGAGGGUGUACGGCCACAUUGGGACUGAGAUACGGCCCAGACUCCUACGGGAGGCAGCAGUGGGGAAUAUUGCACAAUGGGCGCAAGCCGGAUGCAGCGACGCCGCGUGGGGGAUGACGGCCUUCGGGUUGUAAACUCCUUUCGCUAGGGACGAAGCGUUUUGUGACGGUACCUGGAGAAGAAGCACCGGCUAACUACGUG